rnacentral:rRNA from 1 species
AAAUUGAAGAGUUUGAUCAUGGCUCAGAUUGAACGCUGGCGGCAGGCCUAACACAUGCAAGUCGAACGGUAACAGGAAGCAGCUUGCUGCUUUGCUGACGAGUGGCGGACGGGUGAGUAAUGUCUGGGAAACUGCCUGAUGGAGGGGGAUAACUACUGGAAACGGUGGCUAAUACCGCAUAACGUCGCAAGACCAAAGAGGGGGACCUUCGGGCCUCUUGCCAUCAGAUGUGCCCAGAUGGGAUUAGCUUGUUGGUGAGGUAACGGCUCACCAAGGCGACGAUCCCUAGCUGGUCUGAGAGGAUGACCAGCCACACUGGAACUGAGACACGGUCCAGACUCCUACGGGAGGCAGCAGUGGGGAAUAUUGCACAAUGGGCGCAAGCCUGAUGCAGCCAUGCCGCGUGUAUGAAGAAGGCCUUCGGGUUGUAAAGUACUUUCAGCGGGGAGGAAGGUGUUGCGGUUAAUAACCGCAGCAAUUGACGUUACCCGCAGAAG